GGGGGCGGCAGGGUAGCCUAGUGGUUAGAGUGGAGGGGUGGCAGGGUAGCCUAGUGGUUAGAGUGUAGAGGUGGCAGGGUAGCCUAGUGGUUAGAGUGGAGGGGCGGCAGGGUAGCCUAGUGGUUAGAGUGUAGAGGUGGCAGGGUAGCCUAGUGGUUAGAGUGGAGGGGUGGCAGGGUAGCCUAGUGGUUAGAGUGGAGGGGCGGCAGGGUAGCCUAGUGGUUAGAGUGGAGGGGCGGCAGGGUAGCCUAGUGGUUAGGUAGCCUAGUGGUUAGGUAGCCUAGUGGUUAGAACGUUGGACUAGUAACCGGAAGGUUGCAAGUUCAAACCCCUGAGCUGACAAGGUACAAAU
ensembl:lncRNA